rnacentral:rRNA from 1 species
CCUACGGGAGGCAGCAGUGAGGAAUAUUGGUCAAUGGACGAGAGUCUGAACCAGCCAAGUAGCGUGAAGGAUGACUGCCCUAUGGGUUGUAAACUUCUUUUAUAUGGGAAUAAAAUGUUCCACGUGUGGGAUUUUGUAUGUACCAUAUGAAUAAGGAUCGGCUAACUCCGUGCCAGCAGCCGCGGUAAUACGGAGGAUCCGAGCGUUAUCCGGAUUUAUUGGGUUUAAAGGGAGCGUAGGUGGGUUGUUAAGUCAGUUGUGAAAGUUUGCGGCUCAACCGUAAAAUUGCAGUUGAAACUGGCAGUCUGGAGUACAGUAGAGGUGGGCGGAAUUCGUGGUGUAGCGGUGAAAUGCUUAGAUAUCACGAAGAACUCCGAUUGCGAAGGCAGCUCACUGGACUGCAACUGACACUGAGGCUCGAAAGUGUGGGUAUCAAACAGGAUUAGAUACCCCAGUAGUC